AAAAAGUGGUGCUCGUAUGAAACCUAAACGCCACUGAAACUGUAGAAGACGAUUGCGAUGCUGAAUCUAAGUUGCUCAAAAAAUUCUUAUCUCCAAAUCUAGCAGACGAUUGCGAUUGAAACCUCAGGUUACUGAUCUGUUUUAAUCCAAUUACUGUUUCUAUCUAAAUCUCACUUCGAUUCCGAGGUGUGAUUUUCAGCUGUGGAAGAUAACUUGUGCAGAAUAAGCUGAGAAGAAUAAGUUGCAUUCUGAUAGAAUAUUUUAUGUGAAAUGAGGCCUAACAAAUAGCACAGAUGUUUCACCUUCCUAUUGCGUAUAUCACAGAUGAAUUUUUUCUAGUGUUAUUUCUGAAUUUGAUAUUGUGAGACCAAGGUUUGUAUUUCCAUUUCAAUUAUUUUUAUGUAUGAAGGUAGAAUAAACAGUUUAAUUAUACAGCAGAUUGUC